CAAGCAUCUGAUUUUUUCUGUCGAUAAUGUUUACAAUGAGAACGAGAAGAAACUCCUAAUCAUAUUGUUCAUCGGAUGCCUUCCUAAACGAUCCAAAGGCCAAGUAUAUUUAUGCGGAAAUGUGGUAUGCGCAUGGUACUUCAAUCCAGACAUCCGUGAAAUACAUGUGUUCUACAACAGUUUGUAAAGGUUACCAACAGCUGAGUUCCAGCUACUACGACAUCCUGUCACAAAAGAGGAAAUCCAGGUUUCUCAACCCUCUGAAAUUGAAGACAAGAUUGUGGAAGAG